rnacentral:lncRNA from 1 species
UAGAAUUCACCUUUCAAUUCUUUCCUUGAAAAAGGGAGGGGUGUCCCAUCUUCGAUUAGGCGCAAAAAACUGUAGGCUUUCACCGAAUAGCGGCAAGCCCAUUGAACCAGGAGGAAGGUUGCCAUUACAUUUAGGGUUCCUCCAUUUGUAUACCCAAUAUGUAAUGCUGAUCACAACCAAAGCUGCAAUGCAGAGACCAAUAUGCCACAUUCUUAAUUGGUGACAAAUUAAUUAAACCAGGAUUGCUAGCUAGCUGGUUCGCUAACGCUCCUGUUUUGUAUUUUUAAAACAUGAUCAUCGAUCAAGAUCGCGCAAUAUAUAGACUUUAUUGAAACUGAUCGGAUUAUAAACAAACAAAUGUGGAAGUUGUAUAUAGAUUGAGAACAUGAUCAUGAUGUGUCGUAGGGGAUUUCCUCUACAUAUGAAAACUGUGAACAUGAGUUUGAUACGGUGGGGAUAUCUUUUACAUAUGCAAGAUCAAAGUUGUAUUGUUUAAAAGUUAUAGGAAUAUAAUUAGCAACUCAUUCAUUAUUUUAAAAGUUAUAAUCUAAAGUUAAUGUUUUCAAGAAUAUCUACCACACUAUACAUGACUUUUUUAAUCACCACACAUUUUAUGAUAUAAUUUUUAUUAGUUUACCAAAGAGCCAUUGAUGUGGUGGUGGAGUGGUAAGGGAGAGACUUGGUGUUUUAAGGGACUCAGGUGAAUAGGUGGAGAUUGCUAGUUCGAUCUUUGAACUGAAUGAGUUUUACCUCACUGCACUGUUGUGCCUUCGGGCGAGUGUUCACGGGCUUCGGCCCUAGGUGAGCGGUUUCUUCGAUUCGGAGUCGAGUGUAUCUUAAUGUGGUGAAUUUCGCAAAUAGCUCAUUUAAAAGAUUCGUUGAC